GACGAACGCUGGCGGCGUGCUUAACACAUGCAAGUCGAGCGGUAAGGCCCUUUCGGGGUACACGAGCGGCGAACGGGUGAGUAACACGUGGGUGACCUGCCCUCAGCUCUGGGGAUAAGCCCUGGGAAACCGGGGUCUAAUACUGGAUAUGACUCCAUGACGCAUGUUGUGGGGUGGAAAGCCUUGUGCGGCUGAGGAUGGGCCCGCGGCCUAUCAGCUUGUUGGUGGGGUGAUGGCCUACCAAGGCGACGAC
rnacentral:rRNA from 1 species